UACGUAGGGGGCAAGCGUUGUCCGGAAUCAUUGGGCGUAAAGCGCGUGUAGGCGGCUCGAUUAGUCCGCUCUGAAAGUCCGGGGCUCAACCCCGGGAGGCGGGUGGAUACUGUCGAGCUAGAGUCCGGAAGGGGCGAGUGGAAUUCCUGGUGUAGCGGUGAAAUGCGCAGAUAUCAGGAGGAACACCAAUGGCGAAGGCAGCUCGCUGGGACGGUACUGACGCUGAUGCGCGAAAGCGUGGGGAGCAAACGGG
rnacentral:rRNA from 1 species